AUACUCUGGUUUCUCUUCAGAUCAUAUAAAUCUUUCGCCUUUUACUAAAGAUUUUCGUGGAGAGGAACAAGCACGAGUGUCAUGGAAUUUUUUGAGGCUCCGCUUCGGCCCUGGAGC
rnacentral:snRNA from 1 species